rnacentral:rRNA from 1 species
UCGACCUGAACUCAGACGUGAACACCCGCUGAACUUAAGCAUAUCAGUAAGCGGAGGAAAAGAAACUAACGAGGAUUCCCGUAGUAACGGCGAGUGAACUGGGAAGAGUCCAGCGCUGAAUCACUUCUCCUCUGGGGUCGUGAGGUGUAGCGUACAGACCGCUGAGCUUGUAUUGUCCUGCUUGUUCAAGUUUCCCUUGACCGCGGCUCCAGAGAAGGUGCAMGACMUGUCCAMCGAGUGGUUGCCUAUCCAUCUUCGCGUGUCUUGGAGUCGGGUUGUKUGGGAUCGCAGCCCAAAGUAGGUGGUAAACUUCAUCUAAGACUGAAUACGGCCACGAGUCYGAUAGCGAACAAGURCCGUGAGGGAAAGUUGCAAAGCACUUUGAAGAGAGAGUUAAAGAGGACGUGAAACCGAUGAGAUGGAAACGMACAGAGCUGGCGUAUCUGGUCUGCAYUCAUCCGUGUGUUCUUGGGCGUUUGGAUUGCCACUCUCCAGACUGGGAUGGUGUUCAUUCUGUUCAGGGGCUCAUGGAGCAUUUGCAGGCGGAGUGCGCUGAGAUGCUCGGARCAGCUGYAUGAGCUUGGCUUUGAGGCCAGCCCUUCGGGGUCUGGUACCCGGGCUGUGGGAGUGCUGUUUGUUCUGGGUGCUGAGUGUGUGCAAUKGCAACGGGUCCGUGUUGGUUUGAGCUGGCGGUCGGUGGCGGUCGCGUGCGACACGUGCCAGCAGUCAGUUCGGUCCUGCUCGGGCUCUCAUUGCAUGUUCUCGGUGUAAAAGCCGGUCAUCUGUCCGACCCGUCUUGAAACACGGACCAAGGAGUUUAGCGUGUGCGCGAGUCAUUGGGAGUUGAAAACCCAAGGGCGUAAUGAAAGUGAAGGUCUCCUUGCGGAGCUGAUGUGUGAUCUCGUGCACCCCGGUGUGCGGGCGCAACAUAGUCCCGUCCCGAUCGCAUGCGAUGGGGCGGAGACAGAGCGUACGCGCUGAGACCCGAAAGAUGGUGAACUAUUCCUGAGCAGGAUGAAGCCAGAGGAAACUCUGGUGGAAGUCCGAAGCGAUUCUGACGUGCAAAUCGAUCGUCUGACUUGGGUAUAGGGGCGAAAGACUAAUCGAACCAUCUAGUAGCUGGUUCCCUCCGAAGUUUCCCCCAGGAUAGCUGGAGCUCGUCAAGCAGUUAUACUCGGUAAAGCGAAUGAUUAGAGGACUUGGGGACGAAAUGUUCUUAACCUAUUCUCAAACUCUAAAUGGGUAUGAAGCCAGGGUUGCUUGACUCUGAACCCCGGCGUUGAAUGUUUGAGCUCCAAGUGGGCCAUUUUUGGUAAGCAGAACUGGCGAUGUGGGAUGAACCAAACGUGGAGUUAAGGUGCCAAAGUGCCCGCUCAUUAGACCCCAUAAAAGGUGUUGGUUGAUAUAGACAGC